rnacentral:rRNA from 1 species
GGAUUAGGCAUGCAAGUCGAGCGAGAAAGUUCCCUUUCGGGGGAUGAGUAAAGCGGCGAAAGGGUGAGUAACACGUAAUCAACCUACCCCCCAGACCGGAAUAACCAGCGGAAACGCUGGCUAAUGCCGGAUGGCCCCACGAUGUGGCAUCACGAUGUGGGUAAACGGUAGCCCUGCUUCUGCUGGGGGAGGGGAUUGCGGCCUAUCAGCUUGUUGGUGGGGUAACGGCCUACCAAGGCUAUGACGGGUAGCCGGUCUGAGAGGACGAUCGGCCACACUGGGACUGAGACACUGCCCAGACUCCUACGGGAGGCUGCAGUCGAGAAUCUUCCGCAAUGGGCGAAAGCCUGACGGAGCGACACCGCGUGCAGGAUGAAGGCCUUCGGGUUGUAAACUGCUGUCACGCUAUAGGAAUGUGCUGUCGUUAAUAGCGGCAGUGUUGACCAAAGCGAGAGGAAGCACCGGCUAACUCCGUGCCAGCAGCCGCGGUAAGACGGAGGGUGCAAACGUUGUUCGGAAUCACUGGGCAUAAAGCGCGCGUAGGCGGUUCACUCAGUCAGGUGUGAAAUCCCCCGGCUCAACCGGGGAACUGCACCUGAUACUGGUGGACUCGAGGAUGGUAGGGGUGAGCGGAACUCCAGGUGGAGCGGUGAAAUGCGUAGAUAUCUGGAGGAACACCGGUGGCGAAAGCGGCUCACUGGGCCAUCUCUGACGCUGAGGCGCGAAAGCUAGGGUAGCAAACGGGAUUAGAUACCCCGGUAGUCCUAGCCGUAAACGAUGGGCACUAAGUAGAGGGGUUUU